GGGGGUGUAGCUCAGCUGGGAGAGCGUUUGCAUGGCAUGCAAAAAGUCGCAGGUUCGAUCCCUGUCAUCUCCACCA
rnacentral:tRNA from 1 species